rnacentral:rRNA from 1 species
UAGUUGGUGAGGUAAUGGCUCACCAAGGCAACGACGGGUAGCCGGCCUGAGAGGGCGACCGGCCACACUGGGACUGAGACACGGCCCAGACUCCUACGGGAGGCAGCAGUGGGGAAUCUUGCACAAUGGAGGAAACUCUGAUGCAGCGAUGCCGCGUGAGUGAAGAAGGCCUUUGGGUUGUAAAGCUCUUUUGUAGGGGAAGAUAAUGACUGUACCCUAAGAAUAAGGUCCGGCUAACUUCGUGCCAGCAGCCGCGGUAAUACGAAGGGACCUAGCGUAGUUCGGAAUUACUGGGCGUAAAGCGCGCGUAGGCCGUUGAGUUAGUUAAUUGUGAAAUCCCAAAGCUUAACUUUGGAACUGCAAUUAAAACUGCUCGACUAGAGUUUGAUAGAGGAAAGCGGAAUACAUAGUGUAGAGGUGAAAUUCGUAGAUAUUAUGUAGAAC